GGGGAGGAGGGGGAGUCCCUCAGCCCGGAUUGCAAGAGGGCGCAGACCAGGCCAAGGGACCUCACCGGUGCACA
rnacentral:pre_miRNA from 1 species